rnacentral:rRNA from 1 species
GUGUCAGCAGCCGCGGUAAAACGUAGGAGGCAAGCGUUAUCCGGAUUCACUGGGCGUAAAGCGCGUGCAGGCGGUUCGGUAAGUUGGGCGUGAAAUCUCCUGGCUCAACUAGGAGAGGUCGUCCAAUACUACCGGACUAGAGAGCGGUAGAGGAAGAUGGAAUUCCCGGUGUAGUGGUGAAAUGCGUAGAUAUCGGGAGGAACACCAGUGGCGAAGGCGAUCUUCUGGACCGUUUCUGACGCUCAGACGCGACAGCUAGGGUAGCAAACGGGAUUAGAUACCCUAGUAGUCC